rnacentral:rRNA from 1 species
CCUACGGGUGGCAGCAGUGAGGAAUAUUGGUCAAUGGACGCAAGUCUGAACCAGCCAUGCCGCGUGCAGGAAGACGGCUCUAUGAGUUGUAAACUGCUUUUGUACGAGGGUAAACGCAGAUACGCGUAUCUGUCUGAAAGUAUCGUACGAAUAAGGAUCGGCUAACUCCGUGCCAGCAGCCGCGGUAAUACGGAGGAUUCAAGCGUUAUCCGGAUUUAUUGGGUUUAAAGGGUGCGUAGGCGGUCGGAUAAGUUAGAGGUGAAAUCCCGAGGCUCAACUUCGGAAUUGCCUCUGAUACUGUUCGGCUAGAGAGUAGUUGCGGUAGGCGGAAUGUAUGGUGUAGCGGUGAAAUGCUUAGAUAUCACGCAGAACCCCGAUUGCGAAGGCAGCCUGCCAAGCCAUGACUGACGCUGAUGCACGAAAGCGUGGGGAUCAAACAGGAUUAGAUACCCUAGUAGUC